rnacentral:rRNA from 1 species
AGUGAGCGCUGGCGGUAGGCCUAACACAUGCAAGUCGAACGGCAGCACAGUAAGAGCUUGCUCUUACGGGUGGCGAGUGGCGGACGGGUGAGGAAUACAUCGGAAUCUACUUUUUCGUGGGGGAUAACGUAGGGAAACUUACGCUAAUACCGCAUACGACCUACGGGUGAAAGCAGGGGAUCUUCGGACCUUGCGCGAUUGAAUGAGCCGAUGUCGGAUUAGCUAGUUGGCGGGGUAAAGGCCCACCAAGGCGACGAUCCGUAGCUGGUCUGAGAGGAUGAUCAGCCACACUGGAACUGAGACACGGUCCAGACUCCUACGGGAGGCAGCAGUGGGGAAUAUUGGACAAUGGGCGCAAGCCUGAUCCAGCCAUACCGCGUGGGUGAAGAAGGUCUUCGGGUUGUAAAGCCCUUUUGUUGGGAAAGAAAAGCAGCAGGUUAAUACCCCGCUGUUCUGACGGUACCAAAAGAAUAAGCACCGGCUAACUUCGUG